rnacentral:misc_RNA from 1 species
GGACUACUGGGGUAUCUAAUCCUGUUUGCUACCCACGCUUUCGUGUCUCAGCGUCAGCUACGGUCCAGAAAGCCGUCUACACCACAGGUGUUCCUCCUGAUAUCUACGCAUUUCACCGCUACACCAGGAAUUCCGCUUUCCUCUCCCGCGCUCAAGCACUCCAGUUUCCGGCGCACCCUCCCAGUUAAGCCGGGAGAUUUCACACCGAACUUAGAGCACCGCCUACACACUCUUUACGCCCAGUAAUUCCGAACAACGCUUGCUGCCUACGUAUUACCGCGGCUGCUGGCACGUAGUUAGCCGCAGCUUCUUCUCCGGGUACCGUCAUUAUCGUUCCCGUCGAAAGAGCUUUACACCCCGAGGGGCUUCAUCGCUCACGCGGCGUCGCUGCAUCAGAGUU